rnacentral:rRNA from 1 species
GACAGAGGGUGCAAACGUUGUUCGGAAUUACUGGGCGUAAAGCGCGUGUAGGCGGCUAAGUAAGUCGGGCGUGAAAUCCCACGGCUCAACCGUGGAAGUGCACUCGAAACUGCAUAGCUAGAGUCCUGGAGAGGAAGGUGGAAUGCUUGGUGUAGAGGUGAAAUUCGUAGAUAUCAAGCGGAACACCGGUGGCGAAGGCGGCCUUCUGGACAGUGACUGACGCUGAGACGCGAAAGCGGUGGGGAG